ensembl:lncRNA
GUCAUUUAGCCUAGAUUGGCCUCAGCCUUGCUGUGUAGUUAAGUGUAGUUAAGGCUGGCCCUGAACUGUUGAUCCUUCUGGUGCAACCUCCCAAGACACGGGUUACUGCGGCACCGUGCCAGGUUUGAAGUCUGAAUCUGAUAGGCUGAUCUAGACUCUUUACAUCACUGUCUUGCAAGUCACAAACUUGACUUUAACUUCUAGAUGGAACCGAUUUUAUUAAAAGAUUUCAAAGUUUUAAUUUCGGGAAGUUAUUUCAGGCAAGGCAAGCGAAUGUCUAUAAUUAAAGGCUGAACUACUUCCAAGAAAGAAGCUGGAAAAUGCUCCAUGCUGGGAAAUCCAGUUGCUCACCCUGACACUUGCAAUAAAUCAGAGAAAUGGCUACAUAAACACUUGGGAACACUGAAGCCUUUCUGAGAAGGCACCUGCCUUUCCUUCCAUGUAUCUACACAGGAGCCUUUAAACCCAAGCAACUUCCCUUGUAAACCAG